AUUGGAUGACAAGGAGUCUGGAACUGGUCAGGCUUGUUCCUCUAUUGCAACUUCCUGUACACUCUAAUUGGAAGGUUGAAAGAUGCGAUGUGAGCCUGAACUUAAUGCCUCUUGGACUAUGCUGGAACCCCCAAAACUAUGGCAGCAGGCUCUUCCAGAAGCAGUUGCCAGUGCCAAGGAUCAAAAGCCAUCAAGAGCCAUUAGCCAAACCAAGGAACAGAAGUCUUCAGUCAAAUUCUAGGCUGAG